GUAUUUCCAGGAGCCAAGAUAUAAGAAGAGAGAGGAGGAAAUGGGACUCUGACUGGGCCCGGGAUGCUGAGGGGAGAAAAGGACCCGCAUUAACACUCCGGACAUCAUCAGGCACUGUGAAAAAUGCUGAAGACAGGACAAUAUGACCCUGAGCUGAGAAGAUUAAUAACCGGUUAAGAAAUUGAUGGCAUCAUGCACUCGUGGAAGU